GUUUCUCUGGACUGAAGCAAUUUAAAAUAAAGUGUUUCAUAGGAGAGGAAUUUCCUAUGUACACACCAUGUGUGGUUAAAAUUGUGUAACCUGGUUUGUCCCUGCAAAUUUGGAACUUCAUUGAAAAGAAAAAAACUACACAGCAUGUAGCAAUUGAUUUAGCCUGUGACAGAAAAUUGAGGGAAGUACAAAUAUUUACAGGCAAAGGACGUGUGCUGCCUCUCGUGAGGACUGAUUCAAAUUCAGGGGCUGAUCAGACUUCUCAAAUUUGGACCUGAUUUAACAGUAAACUUCUAUCACUGUCUUCAUCCAUUCUUACCACAAGGCAAUGGUGGACUUAUUGAAUGUACUUUAACAAGCUGCUUCUGUUUGGUAAUAACUUUUACAUCCUUUCAAACCAAAAUGCCUCUUAAUUGUCUGCUUCAGAUAAAUACAGCUA